rnacentral:tRNA from 1 species
UCUAUUGUGGGAGAAAAAUGCAAUGACCUUAAAAUUCCUUAUAUAAAUAUACUUAUUUCUUUAGAA